UACAGAGGUCCCGAGCGUUGUUCGGAUUUAUUGGGCGUAAAGGGUGCGUAGGUGGCAAAGUAAGUUGGAUGUGAAAUCCUGGGGCUCAACCUCAGAAUUGCAUUCAAUACUGCUUAGCUAGAGAGCUGUAGAGGAGACUGGAAUUUACGGUGUAGCAGUGAAAUGCGUAGAUAUCGUAAGGAACGCCAGUGGCGAAGGCGGCAUUCUGGACCGAUAUUGACGCUGAGGAGCGAAAGCCAGGGGAGCAAACGGG
rnacentral:rRNA from 1 species